rnacentral:lncRNA from 1 species
GUUUUGUUUUAGGUAAAAGUUUUUCUGAAAAUUUUCCACAGCUUUGUUCAAAGGAUUCUUUUUGUCUCUGACCUACUUUUAAUGUCUGCAUUUUUUUUGGAAAUUCAGAGUCAUAGAACUCUUCUCUGUGUGUAAAAGCAUUCAGACAGAGCUGCUGCCCAUCCUUGCAACAGCUAGGGGCUGAACUCCUGCUCUGCUGAGUUUUGGGUUUAUUCUCUAACCUGUGGCAAUGUGCUGUAGUCAGCCCGACUUAUGCUACUGUCAUGGACAGUGCUAAUAAUAAUACUGCCUUUUGCUGGAGAUGUUAGUUCUCACUUAUGCAUUUUAAGACCUUUUGCUGGAAGUGUUAGUUCUUGCUUAUCUAAUUUUAAACGAAUAUGAAAGACAAUUUAAGUGAUUUUGUACAUUUUAAUUUACUCAUCUACAUUUUCUUGUAUUUUUUGGAUUAAAGUGUACCUGUAUGCUCUUUCUUUCUGUGGAACACUUCAUUUGUAGUGUCCAAUUUUUAAAAAGAAAACAUUUUGAUAACAGUUUCAGAGUAAUGACAAACCAAACACACAUUCUAAUUGUCUACUUGUACAAUUUGUUGGGUAGGUACUAUAGGGGGAAGAAUUAAAUAUACAUGAGGAAGAGAAAAAAUCUUUGCCAAGAAUUUCAGUUAUUAUCACUUAUGGUUUACCCAUAUUGUCAUAAAAGUAAGAAAAUGGGAAUUCUAAUUUUCUGUCACAAAAUAAAGAUUAUAUAAAAAUAA